rnacentral:rRNA from 1 species
ACGGAGGGGGUUAGCGUUGUUCGGAAUGACUGGGCGUAAGGCGCGCGUAGGCGGAUCAGGAAGUUGGGGGUGAAAUCCCGGGGCUCAACCCCGGAAUGGCCUUCAAAACUCCUGGUCUUGAGUUCGAGAGAGGUGAGUGGAAUUCCGAGUGUAGAGGUGAAAUUCGUAGAUAUUCGGAGGAACACCAGUGGCGAAGGCGGCUCACUGGCUCGACACUGACGCUGAGGUGCGAAAGCGUGGGGAGCAAACAGGA